rnacentral:rRNA from 1 species
UACGUAGGGGGCGAGCGUUGUCCGGAGUUACUGGGCGUAAAGCGCACGCAGGCGGUCUGCUAAGUUUGGAGUGACAGUUGGUGGCUCAACCACCAAAGUGCUUUGAAAACUGACAGACUUGAGGGCUUCAGAGGGACACGGAAUUCCGGGUGGAGUGGUGAAAUGCGUAGAGAUCCGGAGGAACACCAAAGGCGAAGGCAGUGUCCUGGGGAGUACCUGACGCUCAGGUGCGAAAGCUAGGGGAGCGAACGGG